ACGUAGGGUGCAAGCGUUAUCCGGAUUUACUGGGUUUAAAGGGUGCGUAGGUGGGCAGGUAAGUCAGUGGUGAAAUCUUCCGGCUUAACUGGAAAACUGCCAUUGAUACUAUAUGUCUUGAAUAUUGCGGAGGUAAGCGGAACAUGUCAUGUAGCGGUGAAAUGCAUAGAUAUGAGAUAGAACACCAGUUGCGAAGGCGGCUUACUACACAAUAAUUGACACUGAGGCACGAAAGCGUGGGGAGCGAACAG
rnacentral:rRNA from 1 species